CGGAGGGUGCGAGCGUUGUCCGGAAUCAUUGGGCGUAAAGGGCGCGUAGGUGGCCCGGUCAGUCCGUGGUGAAAGCGCGGGGCUCAACCCCGCGUCGGCCAGGGAUACUGCGGGGCUGGAGCACUGUAGAGGCAGGCGGAAUUCCGGGUGUAGCGGUGGAAUGCGUAGAGAUCCGGAAGAACACCGGUGGCGAAGGCGGCCUGCUGGGCAGUGGCUGACACUGAGGCGCGACAGCGUGGGGAGCAAACAGGAUUAGAUACCCUGGUAGUCCACGCCGUAAACGAUGGGCACUAGGCGCUUGGGGGAGCGACCCCCCGAGGGCCGGCGCUAACGCAUUAAGUGCCCCGCCUGGGGAGUACGGCCGCAAGGCUG
rnacentral:rRNA from 1 species